ensembl:lncRNA
UUCAGGGGGGAAGUCUUUACUAGAGCUUGGUGCUUUCCGAAUCCCCUUCUCGGCUGAAACGAAUGGCCAAAAGACCGAAGACGUGACGUUAUGCCUUGGGCGACUGCAGCUCUGCUCGGGCUAAAGGACAGAAAGGAGGAUCGUUCAUCACCUCCAAAUAAUGUUUUCAAAGAAGACAGGAGCUGUACUCACACCUGUAACGUGAGGUUUACUAUUAAGGAUGUACAUUAACGUCAAAGGGUCCUUUGUAACCUUAAGGGAAUCUUUGAGUGUAACCUCAAAUCAGGUGAGGGCAUAAUAAAAAAGAUCAUUGAGG